AAAGAUUAACACAAGAUCCAGACUGAAUCCAUCACCCAGAUUUCUCAGAAAUGGGUGGUGUGAUUUCAGUGUAAGCUGCCUGGCUCAAGGCUCGCCCCCAGCUGGACGCUGCAGACUGGUCCUCGGGGACACAGACGGGCUCUCUGUUCGAAUCCGUAUUGAUCCGUGAUGCUGAUGAAAGAACCCGCUGGUCACCUUGAGCCCUACGUGUCCCGCGGCAACACUGCAGCCCCCCGUGUCACUUUAGUCAGACCAAGAGGCUCCGGGGCACAAGGGGAGCGAGCGAGUGAGCGGAGGGUCCUGGUGGCAGAUGGGCAGGAGUAUCAGGGAUUGACUAAUCCCAAAUCUGCCGUCUCCUCACCACAGCGAAACCAGGGGAGAGGCGCGAGCCAGCUGCCACAUCCACGCCUUUCAUGCUCGUCUGCACACAACAGCUGCACCAGGCCUGCCUGCUUGCUUCUAAAUUAUUAAACAUCUUUUUAGUUUGUUCCAGAUGCAGAGCCCGAUGUGCUUACCGAGGCCUUUGUGCAUUUUACGUACCGUUCCUUUUCCCCUCCUCUCAUCAGAAUGCUGUUUGUAAAAGUCAUUAUCCCAUCUGCGACGCCGGUUUGGACAAAACAGCCCAAGACGGUUCCAGCUCGUUCCUCCUUUCCGGGACAGUUUGAGGGUGAUGAUGGAGGGCAGCAGGGGUUUAUGCUUAUGUCUCCACCUUUUGGACAAAAUGGGCCAAGACAGAUCCAGCUGAUUCCUCCUUCCCAGGACAAUCUGACAGAGAUGAUGGUGGGCUGCAGGGGUUCAUGCUUCUGUCUCCACCUGUAAACCGUCUUGGUCUCCGCUUCAGGGCGGCAACAGGAGUUUUGCAAAAAGCAAUCCAACAUGGAGCAGGCAUUGAUGUUGAGGAAACACAAAGGCAGCGUGGUUGUUUUAAGCGAGCUGGCAUGAGCGCUGCUGCUGGAUUGAAGUUAAUAAGCGUGCGAGAGGAGAAGAAGAGCGUCUCUGGAUCUCCAGAUGAGUCUCUCCACGGCUCAAACACACCAGAGACGAGCUGGAUCCUCCACUGGAGCCGCUGCACCUGUUGUUUUCAGGAGCUGGAGGAAGACAGACACUCAUGCACACAAGACCGUAUGGAGCCACGAGA